rnacentral:rRNA from 1 species
GAUGAACGCUGGCGGCGUGCCUAAUACAUGCAAGUCGAGCGAACGGACGAGAAGCUUGCUUCUCUGAUGUUAGCGGCGGACGGGUGAGUAACACGUGGAUAACCUACCUAUAAGACUGGGAUAACUUCGGGAAACCGGAGCUAAUACCGGAUAAUAUUUUGAACCGCAUGGCUCAAAAGUGAAAGACGGUCUUGCUGUCACUUAUAGAUGGAUCCGCGCUGCAUUAGCUAGUUGGUAAGGUAACGGCUUACCAAGGCAACGACGCAUAGCCGACCUGAGAGGGUGAUCGGCCACACUGGAACUGAGACACGGUCCAGACUCCUACGGGAGGCAGCAGUAGGGAAUCUUCCGCAAUGGGCGAAAGCCUGACGGAGCAACGCCGCGUGAGUGAUGAAGGUCUUCGGAUCGCAAAACUCUGUUAUUAGGGAAGAACAUAUGUGUAAGUAACUGUGCACAUCUUGACGGUACCUAAUCAGAAAGCCACGGCUAACUACGUG